rnacentral:rRNA from 1 species
UGCGGAAGGAUCAUUAGAGAUGCCGAAAGGCUUUCCAAACACCCGUGCACCGCCCGACGCCCGCGAGGGUCGAGGGCCACACACAUACAGCUGUCAUGAACGUAAUCUAUGAUAACAAAUACAACUUUCAACAACGGAUCUCUUGGCUCUCGCAUCGAUGAAGAACGCAGCGAAAUGCGAUAAGUAAUGUGAAUUGCAGAAUUCAGUGAAUCAUCGAAUCUUUGAACGCACCUUGCGCCUUUUGGUAUUCCGAAAGGCAUGCCUGUUUGAGUGUCAUGUAGACUCAACCCCGUGGGUUUUUCCCUCGGACGUUGGAUUUGGGCCCUGCCUCUCGGCUGGCCUCAAAAGUGUUAGCGGUGACCGCAGACGUUGUAAGCACUCGUCGUAUCGGGCCCGCUCCUAACCCCAUCUAUUUGCACUCUGACCUCAAAUCAGGUAGGGCUACCCGCUGAACUUAAGCAUAUCAAUAAGCCGGAG